GCUUGUAGUCAAACAGAAGGCAGAGCUGCGAAUCAAAUCCAGGUUUGUCUCGACAUGCCACUAGCUCAUACUUUCCUUGGAUCAGCCACUAAAUGGCUUUCACUCCAGUGAGCAGCGACCAGCACCAGAAUUAUGGAACAUUUAUCAACAGCCUAAAAUAAAGACAACACGAGGAGAAUUUGGUUGCUUAUAUAGAUUCAAGGUACAAUCCUGCUGGAUUCUGGGAUUACAGGACUGUAGACAAAAGAGAAAUCAUCAUGGACUGUUCACUGGACAAAAUUUCAUGGAGAAGACCUUUGGCGGUUCAUGGAUGUUCUAUAAUAAGUUAGCAGGGAAAAUCAAUACCCAGAGAAGGGGAGAGACGUCCAUGGCACACAGGAGAGGACAGAGCCAAGAAUGAAUAUAGGACACCAGUGCCCCAACUCUUAACCACUACCAUACACGGUUUUAUAAAGUAAAUUUUAAAAGUCGACUUUAAAACA
rnacentral:lncRNA from 1 species